AUUGAAAAUGGCAUAUUAUAUGGAUCCAACUUUGAGAUUAUUUGCAGCGCUUAUGCUAGCAGACAAUGAUAUUUCGGACGCAGAAGACAGCAGCUCAUCAGACGAUGAAGUGCGGACAGGGCGUGGACAAAUAAAGAAGA